rnacentral:rRNA from 2 species
UACGUAGGUGGCAAGCGUUGUCCGGAUUUACUGGGCGUAAAGAGCGCGCAGGCGGUCAGAUAAGUCGAAUGUGAAAGCCCCCGGCUCAACUGGGGAGGGUCAUUCGAUACUGUUCGACUCGAAGGCAGGAGAGGGAAGCGGAAUUCCCGGUGUAGUGGUGAAAUGCGUAGAUAUCGGGAGGAACACCAGUGGCGAAGGCGGCUUCCUGGCCUGUUCUUGACGCUGAGGCGCGAAAGCUAGGGGAGCAAACGGG